rnacentral:rRNA from 1 species
CCUACGGGAGGCAGCAGUGAGGAAUAUUGGUCAAUGGAUGAGAGUCUGAACCAGCCAAGUAGCGUGAAGGAUGACUGCCCUAUGGGUUGUAAACUUCUUUUAUAUGGGAAUAAAAUGUUCCACGUGUGGGAUUUUGUAUGUACCAUAUGAAUAAGGAUCGGCUAACUCCGUGCCAGCAGCCGCGGUAAUACGGAGGAUCCGAGCGUUAUCCGGAUUUAUUGGGUUUAAAGGGAGCGUAGGUGGAUUGUUAAGUCAGUUGUGAAAGUUUGCGGUUCAACCGUAAAAUUGCAGUUGAAACUGGCAGUCUUGAGUACAGUAGAGGUGGGCGGAAUGCGUGGUGUAGCGGUGAAAUGCUUAGAUAUCACGAAGAACUCCGAUUGCGAAGGCAGUUCACUGGACUGCAACUGACACUGAGGCUCGAAAGUGUGGGUAUCAAACAGGAUUAGAUACCCUAGUAGUC